rnacentral:rRNA from 1 species
UUCCUACGGGUGGCUGCAGUGGGGAAUAUUGGACAAUGGGGGCAACCCUGAUCCAGCCAUGCCGCGUGAGUGAUGAAGGCCUUCGGGUUGUAAAGCUCUUUUGGCGGGGACGAUGAUGACGGUACCCGCAGAAUAAGCCCCGGCUAACUUCGUGCCAGCAGCCGCGGUAAGACGAAGGGGGCUAGCGUUGUUCGGAAUUACUGGGCGUAAAGCGCGUGUAGGCGGUUUGCCAAGUUGGGUGUGAAAGCCUUGAGCUCAACUCAAGAAAUGCACUCAGUACUGGCAGACUAGAGGACCGGAGAGGAUAGUGGAAUUCCCAGUGUAGUGGUGAAAUACGUAGAGAUUGGGAAGAACACCAGUGGCGAAGGCGGCUAUCUGGACGGUUUCUGACGCUAAGACGCGAAAGCGUGGGGAGCAAACAGGAUUAGAUACCCGGGUAGUC